rnacentral:lncRNA from 1 species
GUUUUGGUGAUAGUGAUGUGUUUGUAGAUCUUUCUUUUACUGAACAUUCUUGCUACUUACUAUUUUCUCUAUCUAUAUAGACUUGGCCCUUUAGAUACAGAGGAAAAUAUUUUGUAAAAAUUUACAAAAAUUUACCAAAUUAAUGAAAAUUGUUAAAAAUUUAUUAUAAAGGGCAAUAACUCCUUAAGGGGUCAACUGACCAUUGUGGUCAUGUUGACUUAUUAUUAGAUCUUACUUUGCUGAACAUUAUUGCUGUUUACAGUUUGUCUCUAUCUAUAAUA